CCGGGUUUCUCCUCGACGAACUGUUCUGGUCGAAUGGGAAGGUCAGCCUGCGAAUCCAGCAGAUCCAGUAGCUUCCUCGCCUUCGCCUCCUUCCUUAGCUUCUUCGCGGUCUUCUCAAUUUCACUAUCGAAGAGGAGGUUUGGCUUGGACGAUCUGCUCAUAAACAAAGAAAAUAAAAAAAAGAAAAAUAGACAAAGGGAAAAGAAUUAAUUAACACCGCUCCCCGGCAACGGCGCCCAUUUGGUGGACGUCGCCAACCACCAAAUAAUUCCUGCAGAAUUACCAAAAUAAAUUAGUAUAUUGGUAAGCAGGGUCGAUCCCACAGAGAGCAG
rnacentral:lncRNA from 1 species